GUGCUAAAAGAGCGUAAGCUAUCGUAUACGUACACACACCGAUUGUCACUAACACGCACAAGCGAAGAGCGUAAAACGAGCACUUACGAUGGAACAAAGCGAUGUUAAAAUCAGUCUGCAAUCAGAAGUUGAACUGAGCAGGUUGAUGCGCACGAGUUGUAUGCCGUAUAUAAAUGAACAGAGAGCUGCAUUGGGUGUGUUCGACCCUGUUCGAUCACCCUCAUUAAAAAUCGAGCACGAGCGAGCGCCACACUCGGCAGCAAUGGGUUCGAUCGAGUGGCACACCCGGCAGCUGCUUUCUGUGUGUUCGAGUCUGUUUGAUCAUACUCUCUUCAAAACGAUCACAAGCGAGUGUCCACCAGAGAGCAGCCUCGGGUUCAAGCAGCAAACUCGGAUUUUGUGUAUAUUAUAUUUUCGGGUGUGUCGUGCACGUGUUGAUUGUGAUCAACACACUCGAGUGGCACUCGAAGACCAAAGAAUAAUAGAUAAACAUACGUACACACAUAUGUAUGUUUGUUGGCGUCGGGAUGUCGCGUUCUGUCUUAGCUUCGUUUGUUGAAUUAGACCUACUCAUUCGACCGGAAUCAGGCCAGCAGUUGAGACACCUUUUUUCGGCACUUCCGCAGACAGCAGAUAACUCCGUUAUUUUUCAAUAUUUUUGUAACUAAAAAUUUUGAUAUAGCUAAAAAUAUACUUUAUUACGUCCAUAGAACGUCGAAACAUUCAA